UAGGUUGGAUGCACUGUUGAGCCUCCUAUAUAACCUACGGUAGUACUAACUACUCCUUCAACUUUUUUAAAUAGAUGCUCAACACUCCAGAAA
rnacentral:miRNA from 1 species